rnacentral:lncRNA from 1 species
ACCAAAUUCUUUAAACUAGGGAAGAAGUUUGAGAUUACUUUGAUCUGACAUUUCACACAUCGUGUGCACCUCAUUGUGUAGUGAAGCUACACUGCAGCAGUGGUGGCAGGAGUUUUUUUUUUUUGAACCCACAAGCAUUGCACUUAUAAGCUCACAAAUUUGCAGCAAAAGGAUAUAAUCAACUGCUGAAGUCAUCUAGAAAAUGGUACUAUCAGUUGUUAUGGAACAAGUGAUCAGUGUGAGCUCAGCCUUCAUAUUUUUAGUACAUGUCAUUUAUGAAUCAUGCAAUUAGUUCUUGAUAAUUCCAUUUGUUAGUUUAUAUUCAAACUAACCUUUAGUUUUUUUUCUGAAAAGGAUGGCAUGCCAAAAAAUUAUAUCAAACCAACAGAAAUUAGCAAAAGCAAAAGGAUAGAUCAGCAGUCCUAAUAUUCCAUGUUUUUUUAAUUGGC